GGAGCUACCUGUAAACAAAUUGGAUCACAGGCAACCUAUGACCAGUGAGAAAUGUCUGCUAGUGGACAGAGGGACCAGUUUGGUGAGAAGAUCAGUCAAGGACAACCAUUUAUCCUGCUCCAUUGUAACAUGAAUUACUGCUAUUCCCUCCCACCCUUGCCUUGACAAUGUCAGAAAAUUUCCAAGGCACACCUAUUUUUGAUACAGAAAGCACUCUACAGCUCUCUCUGCCUGUGCUGAACAAUUCCACACCCUCAGGAAUAGUGUGCAACUACGCCAGUGCCUCCUUCCCACCUGUGAGUUCAGCAUGGCUCCUGCCAUCAGCAUCCAGAACUUCUCUCCAGCCACUCAUGGGCACUGACUACCUUAACCCAAAUUCUAGCAUGACUAUGCUGACAAUGCUGAGUGACCAGAGCCAGGUCUCCAACUCCACACUCUCCUGUCCAGUGGUGGAACUGGAUACAUCCCUGGGAUUGUCGCCUUCAGGCCAAACACUUUCUCUGCUACAGAGUCCAGAAUUAUACAUCACUUGCACCACAGUUUCCCAGAGGAAGACACCAUCUGUUGAUGGGGACCGGCCAUUAACAACCCCUAUCCCUAGCCAUGCAGAAUUCCUCGCCUUGCCUGCAGCUCCAAGAUCUGAACAAACAGAGAUUAAAAACAUGCAUGAGAUGGAAGUUGAGCACUUGAUGCCUCGGGAUGCCUAUGAGGAUACUAAAGAAAAUCAAGACCCAUCAUUCCUCCCUUUAUCACACCCUGACUUGCAGCAGACUCUGCACUGCACUGACACUGGGAGAAUAAGACAGACAUCUGCUUCUGACAAUGCCAGCUUGGGAGGCAUCCGCCUAGGUCUGGAAGAGAAAGGAACACUGAACAGUUUGAUGGUGUCUACUAUUGACUUUGCAAAUAUCACUACAUUGGUGGCAGAUAUUGACCUUCCCCAACUCUUCAACUUCCUCACAGGCCUAGAUCAAUACAAAGAUACAAACAGCAAUUGAAUCCAAAAACUCCACAGUCAUCUGGAGGGAUCAGGCCCAAGAAAAUUCCAGAGUCAUCAGUGGGUCCUCUGACCAGGUGAGAAAGAAAGACCAUGACGCCUCUGAGUUGAUUGAUGGAGCUCCUCAGGCCAAAAUCCAAAACUUGGAUCUGGUGGAGGGAGAAGGGGCUAUGGCCAGUGUUGGGGUCAGUGGCAGGGCUAUUGACAACAUGGCUAAGGACUUGGAGGACAAAGCUCCCAAAGUGCCACCCAUCAUGCCCUGCAGAGCUAGGGGACAAGGGCAAGACAAGACCAAAUGGACCAGAGAAAAUAAUUCCAAGAAAACAGAGGAGCUCAAGAAGUCAAGGACAGAGUCAAAGCUGAAGAGAAGCCCACCAUCCCCAAGCCAAGAUAAAGAGGGAUCUACCCGAGCUUAGCCACAGCAGCUUCAAAAAGCCUAGAACCCACCUUGGCAUGCACAUGCUGAAGUCUGUGCAGGUCUUCCACCCUCUGGGGAUGAAGAGUGAGAAGAAAGCUGCCACCACUUCUUCCCGGGCUCUGGAAACUUUUAGCAACAACAAGUAUCCCGGGCCAGGCCCAGCCACAAUAGUACUACAGGAUAUGCCACAUGAGUGCCAGGGCCCUGACAAAACUCCAGGCAAGGUUCAGAGAGCAGAGAGCAGUGCUCUCAAGGAGUGUCCAUCUUAGUCUCAGUAUGAGCUGCCCCCAGCUGGGAAGGUCAGGUUAGUAGCUCUGCCUUUCCCAACCCAGGACCAUCCUCAAGCCAGACCUGUUUCUAGAAAGCCCCUCAAUCUGGCUUCACACAGGCCCACUACAGCUUACUCUGAGAGGUGUCAUUUUCUCUCAGCUCAGCUUACCACACUCAAGCCAUCCCAACCACCUUCUAUCAGCAAAUCUUUGAUGGCUUCUGCCAAGCCAGCUCUGCCAAUUUCUUCCAGUUCCACACGAUCUAAUGUAACCAACAUCAUCUACAUUAGCACUGUGCCUCAGUCAGGCACCUUGAGGCCUACAUCCUAUAGAGAACCAUCUCAGACUUCCCUCCAGAUGGAGCUUCUUUCUGCUGCCAAGAACAAGGUUCCAGCACCUCUUGAACCUCAAACUCAAUAUCUGUUGCAAGACUUCAGCUGCCAACCCAUUCCAUGGAGAAAAGUUGACAUUCUGGGACCAGUUGUCUCACAGCCCAUCACAAAAGAGCAGAGGCCAGGGAGGGAGGCCAUGAAGAGGAGGGCUCAACAGGAGUGAGAGAAUGCUGCCAAGUAUACCUCUCCUGGGAAACUGCAGCUUUUUCUCCAGAGGGAAAAAGAUAUGGAAAUUUCCCCAUAUUAUGGCUAUGCAAUGUAAGAGCUGCCCAGAUCUUUCAGUGUGGACAAGGAUAAAUAUAGACACUGAUACAUACGUAUACAUGAGUAGUAUAUGAAUGUGUAGUAGUGACAUGGGUACAUCUGUGUUAUGUAAAUGUUUGUUUAUAAAAAUUGACAGACAAAUUUUCUAUCAUACUUGUAAAUAUUUGACUGGAGAAAUUUAAGUCAAUCCUUUAAUUCAUGGUAUAUAGUGGAUUUGUUUUUAUUCUCAUGACUGAUUUUUAAAAAUCUAGGUUGCUCAAGUGAUAUAUGUUACAUAAAUAUAUCAUAUGAUAUAAAAUUCUGAUAAUAUUUAUUAUUAAAGCAAUUCAUCAAUAGCUAUAGUGGUAAUAAAUUUAUUCUCCUUGAUAUUUUCAUUGUACUAGUCACUGAACAUGGUGUGUUCCCUAAAAUUUAUACUGUAAUCUGAAGACACUCGAGCUGUUACCAGUUCCUCUCACCCCAGCUCUUACUCAUUAUUCUGUAACAGAACUUUUCCUGCAAUUUGUGAGAUGAAAUACAGGCUUUCAUGUAUAUACAACCUAGCACUCAUACACGAGAAAAACAUUAUCAGGAUGAAUAUGUUUCUGAAAUGGAUUGAAUUAGAUAAAUGUAUUUGUCUCAAGUUG